CACGUAGGGGACGAGCGUUGUCCGGAUUUAUUGGGCGUAAAGAGCGUGUAGGCGGCCAUGUAGGUCCGUUGUGAAAACUCGAGGCUCAACCUCGAGACGCCGAUGGAAACCAUGUGGCUAGAGUCCGGAAGAGGAGAGUGGAAUUCCUGGUGUAGCGGUGAAAUGCGCAGAUAUCAGGAAGAACACCCGUGGCUAAGGCGGCCCUCUAGUACGGUACUGACGCUGAGACGCGAAAGCGUGGGGAGCGAACAGG
rnacentral:rRNA from 1 species